GGUUUCCGGCGGCCACAGUCCUUCAGUCCCGCUUCAGCUAUGAAGCGCAAGUUGGGACCUUCAGAAUCUUCAGUGGAGAAAUAUUUCAGUACAUCGAUGCUGGAGGAUCCCUGGGCAGCUCUGCAGCCUGUCGCAGCAGCAGAUGUAGCUACAGCCAGACACACAACAUGAUA